CGCACAGCGAAAGGUGCUUGCACCUUUCAAGUGAGUGGCGAACGGGUGAGUAACACGUGGACAACCUGCCUCAAGGCUGGGGAUAACAUUUGGAAACAGAUGCUAAUACCGAAUAAAACUUAGUGUCGCAUGACAAAAAGUUAAAAGGCGCUUCGGCGUCACCUAGAGAUGGAUCCGCGGUGCAUUAGUUAGUUGGUGGGGUAAAGGCCUACCAAGACAAUGAUGCAUAGCCGAGUUGAGAGACUGAUCGGCCACAUUGGGACUGAGACACGGCCCAAACUCCUACGGGAGGCUGCAGUAGGGAAUCUUCCACAAUGGGCGAAAGCCUGAUGGAGCAACGCCGCGUGUGUGAUGAAGGCUUUCGGGUCGUAAAGCACUGUUGUAUGGGAAGAACAGCUAGAAUAGGAAAUGAUUUUAGUUUGACGGUACCAUACCAGAAAGGGACGGCUAAAUACGUGCCAGCAGCCGCGGUAAUACGUAUGUCCCGAGCGUUAUCCGGAUUUAUUGGGCGUAAAGCGAGCGCAGACGGUUUAUUAAGUCUGAUGUGAAAGCCCGGAGCUCAACUCCGGAAUGGCAUUGGAAACUGGUUAACUUGAGUGCAGUAGAGGUAAGUGGAACUCCAUGUGUA
rnacentral:rRNA from 1 species